rnacentral:misc_RNA from 1 species
GGUUUGAGAGGAAAGAGGAGCUUCAGGAAGGCGAUAAUGGCGCCGAGAAAGAAAUUACAAGGUGUCGAUGAUGAGUUGCAGAAAUUGCUUGAUGCUAAUAUGGACGGCGUAGCCGCCAGACGCCGAGCGCGGGAGGCGUUCAAAGAAAUUCAGCUCGGAAUUGAUCACAUUCUGUUCAAGACACCAAGCGACGGAUUGAAGAUGGAAGAGACAUAUGAAGUCAACUCCAGAGGACUGAG